AAUUAUCUAUUUUAUUAAAUUUACAAUUACGAGAAUUGUAUAAAAUAUAUUAAUUACAUAUGUAAAAAUGAACAGUGGAUUUAAAUUUUAAAAUUAAAGCAUCGUUGACUGACUCAAAUCGAACACAUUGAAAUAUUAAAAAGUAAAAUUAAAUUUAAAAAAAUUUGACAGUUAAAUCAAAAUGAUUCAUAGUUCAAAUAAGUUUCAUAUAAUUUUUUUCUAAUUAUUAA
rnacentral:lncRNA from 1 species